rnacentral:lncRNA from 1 species
CUAUUAUCUCAUAAAAGGGGAAAAUACAUUGAUCGUACAAAAGGGUUUACAAGCUUUGUUUAUUGUACUUCAUAGCAACCAAAAAUAACAAGGGAAUAAGGCACAUACCCGUUACAUGGCCGUUAGAGUGUGCAGUCCAUGAUCCAAGAAAUAAUUUUGACACAAAACAGUCAUGCCUUAGAAGACCAUUUUUGGCAAGAAACAUUUAUAUUCGUCAAAAAAAAAAAGAAUGUUACAUUUUCUGCUCAUGAUCAAUGGCAAUGAAUAUUUGCAAAAAAAAAAAAUCUUCCGUUGAAGGAACAAAAGAAAAAAAAGAGCAACAAAUAGAAGGAAAUGGAACUUACCAUUCUUGUUCCUCAUCCUGCUCGCAAUGCUUUUGAUCUAUGAUUUCCAAGAUCUCGGAUGAGCCUUUGCUAAAAAUAUUAGGAGAAAAUCUCUCAUUUGGAAUGAAAUUGAGAGAGAGGAGAAGGGUGCAGGGGUUUUACCCCUUUUCCUUUAGGGGAAAG